GUAGAAGGUGAAGGGGAAAGAGUAUUCAAGUGAUUCACGAGCUCAUCACUGGUUAAAAAACACCUUUUGUGCCACGUAAGGUUUUGUGUUUAAUUGGUUAACUUUCAAUAAGUUCAAGAGUUCAAUAGGUACCGGUCCUAGUUGAGGUUUUAAAAUGAAAAUUGGAGUCAAGUAUAAGGGACCUCUUAUCUAUAUGGCCUUGAAAUUAUCUUGCCCUUUUCUAUCUUCUUGUUAUAAACUGUUCAUGUCUCCUUAUUUUUAUUUGUUUAUUGAAUUUGUAUAAGUUACAUAUGAUAUAUUGAAUGAAUCAUUUCUAGGGGUCUUAUCAUCAAGAAUUGUUUAUUUCAGAAGUUUUCAUCUACUUUUGUUAACAUUUUG
rnacentral:misc_RNA from 1 species